AUUGAACGCUGGCGGCAGGCCUAACACAUGCAAGUCGAACGGUAGCACAGAGAGCUUGCUCUCGGGUGACGAGUGGCGGACGGGUGAGUAAUGUCUGGGAAACUGCCUGAUGGAGGGGGAUAACUACUGGAAACGGUAGCUAAUACCGCAUAACGUCGCAAGACCAAAGAGGGGGACCUUCGGGCCUCUUGCCAUCAGAUGUGCCCAGAUGGGAUUAGCUAGUAGGUGGGGUAACGGCUCACCUAGGCGACGAUCCCUAGCUGGUCUGAGAGGAUGACCAGCCACACUGGAACUGAGACACGGUCCAGACUCCUACGGGAGGCAGCAGUGGGGAAUAUUGCACAAUGGGCGCAAGCCUGAUGCAGCCAUGCCGCGUGUAUGAAGAAGGCCUUCGGGUUGUAAAGUACUUUCAGCGGGGAGGAAGGUGUUGUGGUUAAUAACCACAGC
rnacentral:rRNA from 1 species